UGGAUAAUAGUUCGAAUGACCGUGAUAUAAAUUUUGUCAAAAUUGUACGCAGCAGGCUGAAUUUAGCGGGGAUGCAGCAAGGUGCAUACUUCAUAGAGGUUUCAUAUUAUUUUCCUAGAUUUUCUAACUUUAUAAUAUGAUUUAAACGAUGAUAAAAAAAUUUUUUUUUAAUUAUCCCAAUUCGCUUAUUUUAAAUUGUUAUGGACUCAAUUAAAUCCCUAAUUAUGAUUUGACUUAAAAAAACAUAUGAGCCAUAAAGUCAUGAGGUCUUACCUAUAAGUAGUUGAAAUAUGUAUAUAUUUUUUUAAUCCAUUUUCACUUUUAUCAAAAACCAAAAAAAUAUUUAACUUAUACAUCUAAUGACUUACAAAAAGCAUUUUUUUAAGGGUGGUCCUUCGAGAUUUGUAGUUGCACCCCGGUUAGCUGCUGCACUCCGACUUUAAAGACUUAGAUCCAGCACUGUGUACGCUUUAUCAAUUCGGCAGUCGUAAUUGUCAAUCAAUCUGAAUUUGCACCGUCAUCCGCGAGUACGUAUCAAAAUCUAGGGGUUGAAGUUAGAAGAAAUUCCACUGGAACACAAGUCUCGUACAUACAUUUGCAAACCUCAUAACUUCUAGUAAUCUAGUCCAACGAAACAUGUCCAUUGUUGAGCGGGACCAUUUUCUUCCUCCAAAAAAAAAAAGAAAAAUGGAAAAUGAAGGGAAAUGGUCAAAAAUUAUUUUUUGGAGGAAAAUGGCUACGGCCCCAUUGUUUCUCAUUCUAUGGGCAAAGGGAUGGUUUCGUUUCUGCAGCCGAUUGCAAGCAGCCACUGCAGCGACAGUCGCAUACAGCAGACCUGGUUUUAUUUUUGCAGUCAACUACACGCAGUUGAAUACUACUUCGGUACAUCACUAACUAUCCUACCAUAAAAUAAUAUAAUAAAAUAAAUUACAUCUCAAGUACUUGAACAAAUAAUUGAAGAAGAAGAAUGCGAUGAACAAAUCUUAAGUUUGCUGUUCCUAAAAGUCAGCAAAAGAAAAAAAAGUAUGUAAUAUGUUUAUUGUUUAUAGCUAUG